GACGAACGCUGGCGGCGUGCUUAACACAUGCAAGUCGAACGGAAAGGCCCUGCUUGCAGGGUACUCGAGUGGCGAACGGGUGAGUAACACGUGGGUGAUCUGCCCUGCACUUCGGGAUAAGCCUGGGAAACUGGGUCUAAUACCGGAUAGGAGCCAUUUUUAGUGUGAUGGUUGGAAAGUUUUUUCGGUGUAGGAUGAGCUCGCGGCCUAUCAGCUUGUUGGUGGGGUAAUGGCCUACCAAGGCGGCGACGGGUAGCCGGCCUGAGAGGGUGGACGGACACAUUGGGACUGAGAUACGGCCCAGACUCCUACGGGAGGCAGCAGUGGGGAAUAUUGCACAAUGGGCGCAAGCCUGAUGCAGCGACGCCGCGUGGGGGAUGACGGCCUUCGGGUUGUAAACUCCUUUCGCUAGGGACGAAGCUUUUUGUGACGGUACCUAGAUAAGAAGCACCGGCUAACUACGUG
rnacentral:rRNA from 1 species